GAUGAAGAACGCAGCGAAAUGCGAUAAGUAAUGUGAAUUGCAGAAUUCAGUGAAUCAUCGAAUCUUUGAACGCACAUUGCGCCCGCCAGUAUUCUGGCGGGCAUGCCUGUUCGAGCGUCAUUUCAACCAUCAAGCCCUGCUUGCGUUGGGGUCCUGCGGCUGCCCGCAGGCCCUGAAAACCAGUGGCGGGCUCGCUAGUCACACCGAGCGCAGUAAUACAUCUCGCUUUGGGCGUGCGGCGGGUUCUUGCCGUUAAACACCCCCUUUUUACCAAGGUUGACCUCGGAUCAGGUAGGAAUACCCGCUGAACUUAAGCAUAUCAAUAAGCGGAGGA
rnacentral:misc_RNA from 1 species